CAAGGGUAUGAUGUGCAAUCU
rnacentral:miRNA from 1 species